rnacentral:rRNA from 1 species
UGCAGAAUCCCGUGAACCAUCGAGUCUUUGAACGCAAGUUGCGCCCGAAGCCAUUAGGCUGAGGGCACGCCUGCCUGGGUGUUGCA